rnacentral:misc_RNA from 1 species
CAGCACUAAGCAAUAGUUGGAUCUCAUUCCACCACCGAUCUCUUCAAAGAACAUAUAAAAUUUUUGUACACCGAAGGACUAAAAAACAAGAAAAUGCUACCACCAUCUUUCGCCAUCUGGAUGUGUCCCCCACUUAACAUUUGAAACCUCGACAGACAAGAAGCCAAAGUAUAACAAUCAGAGCAAGGAUUGCUCCUCCUACCAUCAACUUCAUUUGGAGAUUCUGCAGCCACAUCUUCCGUCGCAGUUGUCUUCCUUGCCUCUGGAAACUGUCAGCCUGGAACUGUAGGUUCUCUGUUUUGUCUACCAGAAGUUC